rnacentral:lncRNA from 1 species
UACAUUAAUCAGGAGAUGUUGAUGUUUUCUCUUAACCACAAAUUUUUAUUGAGACAUAUAAGGAAAAGAUAGUUGAGUAUAUACAACAUUCACAUAACUCGGUGGACCUGAUUUUCCCUUCUUGAACCAAAAAGAUAUCCAUGAAACUUCAAGCAUUUGUCCUUGAUGUAUCCAAAAAUACCACAUUGAGUGCAAAGAGGACUAUCUUUCUUUCUAGCUUUUGGAUUGGAACUAGCAAAUUCUUGACAUGCAACAGUAACAAUAUCGAUUUCGAUGGCUCGUUGUUUUUAUUCUUGGAUCACAAAAGAAAAAUGUGGCUAAUGGAAGGAAAGUAAUCCAUAAGUAGUAGUAUCUGGCUACAAAUUUGACUAAAAUCCUCAUUUAGGCCGAGCUAAAUAAGUAAGUUUAUGCUCUCGAUUAAUAUGAUCAACUAUAGAGUAUUAACUUCAUCACAUUCACGAUGAUUAAUCAAACAGAACAUGGCCAAUUCCUUCCAAAUUCCCUUGAUCUUGAGUACGUAAUAAGAACUAACAGAGAGAGAGAGAUCCUUGAGUGCAUUUCAUGAAGUCCUUGCAUAAUAAAAAUAAUUAAGGGCCAUUGUUACGAAGGAACCACUCUUGCAAAUCACUCAUAUUUUUUGCAUUAUAAAGAUAAAGUCUACUCAUGCUAUAGUAGAUGUCUCGAAUUUAUCACUGAGGAAUACAAGAAAACGGAAAAGAAUUUGCAAGAAAAACUGGUGAAAUUAUCAUUUUGCUCUGAUAUACAAUAUUAAGUUUUAUAUUGGAUAUAUUCUUAGCAAAUUUUACAAACAUAUAUCUCGGUCAUCUCUCAUCAAAUGAUAGACUCUUAACAUAUAAUGUUCAACAUCAAUUUUUUAUUUGAUAUAUGAGAUUAUUAACAUUAUUGAUAAGUAUUAAUAUUAAUAAUCUUCUCCCCCAACGUGAGUUCAUUCAUUCUUACGAAUGUGCUUUCCCUCCAUAGGGAUCUGAUACCAAAGUUGGAUCAUAGAGAAUCAUCGCAUUGGACUUUGAACAAUCACUUAAGUGAACACGUCACAUUUUGACUCAAAACAUUAACACGUUCAAUUAAUGGACUCUCACCAAUUCAUGGACUUUACAAAUUAAUUCACCAAUGUAGAAUUAUUAAGACUAGGUCCCAAAUGCGGUUACAGAUAACUCAAAUGUGAUCAAUUAUUGGAACAUUAUAAAGUUGAGUGUGAAGAAUACCAUCUUUCACCAUCAACAAGGCCAUUUGAGAUUGAGAAUAAGAUUCACAAAUCACUUUCAAUGGAUACGAGUUAAAAUAUUCUUUACUUAGUAUAUUAAUGAAAUACUACGAUUAAUUGAAAAGUUAAAAUAAAUAUAUUAAAAUAAUGAUAAGUAAAAAUAACAUAAUUCUUAUUAAAUCUACUGUGUUAUUGUAAUGAUAGUUUAUUUUUUUCUUUUACCCCCUCCACAUAAAUAUAAAUAGGAGAGAGAGAGAGAGAGAGAGAUGUUGCAUAAAAAUGAUAAUGUACAAGUGAGCUUUGAUGGAAGUGAAGUGAUGAUGAGAAAGAAAGAAACAAAUCUGCUAUAUUUUUCUCCUCUACCUGUGAUUGUAAUGCAGUGCAGUGGAAACACCGUGUUUCCUGCUUCUUCUUCUGCUGAUGCACAGUACUACAGAUAUAAACUACAGUAUUAUCUCAGUAAUUUCUACCUAUUUAAUGGUUUCUGUAUUUUUGGUGCUAAAUGAGAGAGUAACCAGUAACCACUGGCAAACACUUCAAAUUGGGAACAUGAUGAUGAAUGAAGGGAGACUCUAGAUUUCAAACAGUUUAUUCAAGUUAUUAUGUUUCCAACCAGACAAGACCAGUUUCUUGGUACGAUUUGUUACAGAAACCAAACUUAGGAGAGUACUAGUUUCAUUUCAUCUAAAGGUUUUACUCCCAGAAUAGUAAGUAAUAUUACUAUAAUUGAUUUGUGAUCUCAACUUUCAGAUAUCUCUAUGUCUUUUGUUCUUCUCCCAUGACUCUUCAAGAAAAACUGUUUUCGUUCCCCUUUCCUUUUAUGCCUAUUUUAAGCUCAAAUUCAAGUUUAAGUCUCUUUUGUUUUCUUUUUGGUUACAUUGAGGAUUCAUCGGAGGUAGGGGAAAAAGAAAUUGAAGAAAGAAAAACUACAAUAAAUUUUCACCUUUUUUUUUUUUUUUUGGCAGUGCAGAAAAUUUCAUCCAAGUUGUCCAUAGUUCAUUGGUUGAAUUUUUCAAUUUCAAAAUUGAAAAUUAACCACUGGUUCUUCCAAUAAGGGAAGGGGCCCUCAAUUCUUUAGUACUAGUCUUCUUUUGUGAUGAGUUGAUUACCGUUCUUCUUUGAUUGUUUGGCCCAACUCAGUGUACUCUCACUUUUUUUCUCUAAAGGGAGUGUACUGUCUUUCUUUUUUUAUAACACGCAAAGUUGUAUGUUACUAUGAUUUGAGAGAGAGAACGAACAAUAUCGAAAAUGACUUGAAAACAAAGUAGAAAAAAGAAAAUAAUUUACAUCACAUUUGUUUUUUUAUUCUUAUUUUAUUAAAUAUCAUUUUUAUGUUAUUUUUUAAAUUUGUAAGGUUAUAUACUAUAUAUUUUUUAUUAUUAGUUUGAGUCAAGAAACUAUCAAAAUAAUUUAUGAUGAAACAAACUAAUACUAUAAUAAUAAUCUCUAGUUGCUUGAAUUGAAUAAAAGAUCGUUCAUUUUUAUUUUUUACUCUAUGGCUCUCUCUCCCUUUCCUUGUGGUCAACCACAAUUUAGACAUUAUUAAAUUCAAAACAAUUUAUUGCACUACUAUAUGAAAUCUUAACGAGAGAGGUUGCUAGAUAUUGUUCUCAGUUACAGUCAUUAUUAUCUUUCUAUUAAUAAAAGCCAAUAUGGUCCCAAAUAUUAAUUGAUUUAUUAAGGGAAGAGCCCACCACCAUUUUCUAC